rnacentral:rRNA from 1 species
UACGUAGGGUGCAAGCGUUAAUCGGAAUUACUGGGCGUAAAGCGUGCGCAGGCGGUUUUGUAAGUCUGUUGUGAAAUCCCCGGGCUCAACCUGGGAAUGGCAAUGGAGACUGCAAGGCUAGAGUUUGGCAGAGGGGGGUAGAAUUCCACGUGUAGCAGUGAAAUGCGUAGAUAUGUGGAGGAACACCGAUGGCGAAGGCAGCCCCCCUGGGUCAAGAUUGACGCUCAUGCACGAAAGCGUGGGGAGCAAACAGG